GUUGUUACUGCGCCCUCUGGAGUUUGAUUGUUGAUUCAGCUCGGAAUAUUCCGUAUUAAUUUAAAUUUCAAUUUAUUAUGGAACAGUUAUUUCCGGAUAAGUGAGGUCGAAUAUCAUUACCGUUGGGAAAUAUUUUAUAAUUUCUGGAUUUCUUGUAUUAAUUUUCUUCUGUGUGGGAAGUUUCGUUUGACAACUGGUAGAUUCUGUGGUUAUGAAUGAUUGUCAGAUAUAGAGGUUAUCGGCGAUUUGUGAGAAUUUUGAGAAAAGGGCUUUUGGAAAAAAUUGACCAAAUUUGGAGAAUAUAUGAUCUAGAAUCAUCCUUGUUAUAGGCGAUUAUUUCUCCAAUUUGGAUAAUUCCCUGUUUGGCUUAUGGUAUUGUGAAUAUUUCUGGGAAAUACGUUUUAUACGUGAUUAUAAAAUUUUCUUCCACCAGGCCCAUCUCUUGUACUGAAUUUACUCUGAAGAUCUGAGAGGAUUCGCUUCCCGCCGAUUAGUUCGAAUAACUGUUGAACUUAUACGAAGAAUAUCAAGAAGAUCCUUUUCCCUCGAACAACAACUGAGAGGGUCCUAGUGCCUGGUAACGGCCUGGUUACUGUUUGGAAUCCUAGUGCCUGGUUACGUUCAGGAAUUCUUAGUCUGGUGUAUAGUACGGUUGGAGUUUAUGGUAUUUAUUUUCUGGUAUAUGGUGCUGAAUUCUGGUGCAGUUCUGAUGUAUGGUACAUUCUGAUAUAUGGUACAGUUCGAGUACAUAGUAUAUUGCUGACAUAUGGUGUAGCUCGAAUAGAUGGUGCAUUCUACCUAUAGAGAUCUCACCGUUAGAUUUGCUGUCAAGUCAACCUUCAAUAUUG